rnacentral:rRNA from 1 species
AGUGAACGCUGGCGGUAGGCCUAACACAUGCAAGUCGAACGGCAGCACAGUAAGAGCUUGCUCUUACGGGUGGCGAGUGGCGGACGGGUGAGGAAGACAUCGGAAUCUACUUUUUCGUGGGGGCUAACGCAGGGAAACUUACGCUAAUACCGCAUACGACCUACGGGUGAAAGCAGGGGAUCUUCGGACCUUGCGCGAGUGAAUGAGCCAAUGUCGGUUUGGCUGGUUGGCGGGGUAAAGACGCACCAAGGCGACACUCCGGAGCUGUUCUGAGCGGAUGAUCAGCCACACUGGAGCGGAGACACGGUCCAACCCCCUACGGGAGGCACCAGUGGGAAAUCUUGGACAAGGGGCGGAAGCCUGAUCUGGCCAUACGGCGUGGGUGAGAAAGGCCUUCGGGUUGUAAGGCCCUUUUGUUGGGAGAGAGAAGCGGCAGGUUAAUACCCCGCUGUUCGGACGGUACCCAAGGAAUAGGCACCGGUUAACUCCUU